CUUUUAUAAAGAACAAAGAAUAAUUGUUCUUUAUAAAUUAGAAAGAAAACUCUCACAGGUUUCAUCACUUUUACUCUCUCUCUCUCUCUCUCUCUCACCAGUUUCAUAUAUACUGAGAGAUCUCACCACUUUUUUUCCUGCACCAGUUUCUUAUCAGCUUCAGCUCUCAUGGCUGCAACCGACGUGGCAGUGCAUUUAUACUGGAAUGGAAGAGUGAAAACCAAAAAAUAUGAUGUUGUUUAUGAAGGUGGCGACAUGAAUGUGAUGCCUAUUAAGCUCAACCAUGGAACUACGUAUUUUGGAUUGUUGGAUAAAAUCUACGCAACUACAGGCAUAAAGAGGACGGAUUUUGAGUUGAACAUCAUAUGCAGAUACCCUAUAUCUUCAAGGGAAUAUAAGCCCAUCCCAAUAAAGAAUGACGAGGCCGUAGACCUCAUGUUGAAAGUGCCAUGCAGAUCAUUUCGAGUCUACUGUGUGGAGAUAUAUUUGGAGGCAACGCGUUGUGUGAAAUCUCUUCUCCGGGAAUCUGCUCAAAUGUGGGAAUCUGAGUGUUAGGAUAUAGUAAUUUUAUUGUGUUGAAUUGGCUUAUAUAUCAAAUCAGUCAGUGUUCAGGGAUUGAAUUAAGUUUGGUAUGGCAUGAUAAUAUGUGAUCUAGUUUGUAUAAUUCUAUUUUUUUUCUCUCAUUUUGUAUAUUAAUAACCAUAUUCAAGAAAAAAUUUAUAAUUUUUGUUUA